AGUCCCCAUCGCAGCCCUCCUCCCCUUCCUCGCCCGCGCAGCCUCCUCCUCUUCCUCCUCCCCUCGCCCAGGGCACCGGCGGCGCUGCGGAGGGGAAGCCUCCCCGGUGCGGGGGCGGAGAGGAGGAGGAGGAGGGGAGGGGAGGAGGGCCCGGGCCCCCGGCCGCGCUCGCCCAGCAGCGCGGCGAGCAGCGGCGGCAGCCCCCGGAUGGCAGUUGCUGAGAGCUGGGGAGGCCGGACGCUUCUGCCGAGGUGCUUAAAACGCUGGCGCCGCUCCCCGCGCGCCCGGAGCGGCCAGGAAAAGCUCGGCUUUCGGAGACGACGCACCGCCCGAUCCCAACAACUUCCCCGGAGCCGCGACGUGGCUCCGGCCGGCCCGCUGCGGGCAGGUGCCGCCGCUCCGCCGGCACGACGGGGCUGGGGGUUAAAACGCGACGGGGAGGAAACAGCUCCGAAAAAGCAAAGUGUAGAGGGGGAAUUAAUAAUUAUUAAUAUGAAUAAUUAAUAAUAAAAUUGGCUUUGGCGGUUCAAA